AAAGCUCAGUCUCCUGCUCAAAACAGGAGUGCAGCAGCCGGAGCGAGUGGGGACAAGCUCGCCGAACACCGGGCGUCUCGACAGGGACCCGAGGCUGCAGGACUGCUCCGAGACGCUGCGGUGACGGCAGCGCCGGAGGAUGCGGAGGACUCUCUGGCCACCUGCCCUCCGUGCGCUCUGCCACCAGCGCUCAGCAGAGACCCCGGGCUGCGGCUGCACUCGCUGAGUGCCUCUCCCAGCAGCCGCAGCCCAGAGGUGCCCGGCACCUGGAGCUCACUGGAGCUGAGGGUCCGAGCUGAGCUGGCUGUUGUAAAGCCGAAAGACGAGUCAGUGACUGGGACCUCUGUCCUGGUGGCGACGGUGAGAAACGGUGAGCCCGAGGGGCGCGGCAUAGAACUCUCCAGCUCCGAGCACUGGGGUCCGCCGGCCGGCAGGGAAGGCAGCUGAGCGCAGAGGCGAGUGAGCGGACGCGUCCUGGGGUCUUUGCAGUCCCCGCCAGCCCAAGGCACCGACUCUCGGUCAGUUGAGCGCGGCAGGGCGGGAGAGGCGCGCCAUGGAGGCGCCGGGUUUCGCCAGUAUGCUCCAGGCCAAGUGAAGCGGUCCGGCUGGGGUCGGCGGGACCCGCGGGCCAUGUACGGCGACAUAUUCAACGCCACGGGCGGCCCCGAGGCGGCGGUAGACAGCGCGCUGGCCCCAGGAGCCACGGUCAAGGCAGAAGGCGCUUUGCCGCUGGAGCUGGCCACUGCGCGCGGUAUGCGGGACGGCGCGGCCACAAAGCCCGACCUGCCCACCUACCUGCUGCUCUUCUUCCUGCUGCUGCUCUCGGUGGCGCUCGUCGUCCUCUUCAUCGGUUGCCAGCUGCGCCAUUCGGCCUUUGCCGCGCUGCCCCACGACCGCUCGCUGCGCGAUGCCCGCGCGCCCUGGAAGACGCGGCCGGUGUAGUGUGGGACUGAGCCACGGCCGCCGGGCGCCCGGUCCCGACCUAGCCAAGAGCAGCCAGCUUGAGCCUGGUAGAGAGGGCAUGAUGCCGGGGAUCGCUGGCCCCUGGGAACACUGCGCCCUGACCCAAAGACCCUUUCUGAACUAGAGUGGCAACCCCAGCGGAAAGGGAGACCGAGGCGUCGGGAGGCUGUGUAGGGUCUCGAUUCCAGUACCUGUAGGUACCGUGGUUCUGAUCCCCUGGCCGAAUCUUUCUUCCUCUGGACAAAGGGUCCAGUCGGGAAACCUUCCUGAAAGGCGGCGCGCCAGCCCGGGCACAGAAGGCUUGCUCGCCGCCUGCUGACUUCCUUACUUUGCACACGGAAGGGACAGGAACCGCGAGCGUGCAACUAGCCUGGAGCUACUUGUCUGGACUCGCAGGCCCUGUGGCUGUUUCCCCACUGCUGCCACCACCUCUCUUGCUCCUUGACACCGAGGAGGACCCCACUAGGAUCUCAGCGUCGUGAACUCACCUGAACUUUGGAAGGUUGGCACUCCGGGGCCGCAUCCCCCUGGGGAAAUGACUGAACGCGGGGUUUCAGUGGGUCCCGCCCGGGUCUAAGGACCCUGUGUUCCUUCUGUGGGCACAGGCAGUGGGAGGCCAGUGGAAAGGCGCAGGGGCCCACCUACGCGUCUCACAUCUUCAGGGGCCGCAUUUCUACAAUAAAAACUCACCCAAUUAAACCUAGUGCUGAGAACGUGCUGGUAAUUGUUUGCGCCGCUUUGGAAAAGGGGAUAAGGGUAGAUCGAUCCUGAGUAGGAGACCCAAGGGAGACCCACCUCCCCUCCCAGGACAUUUUGAUGAUACUACCCCCUCUUCAGCUUUUCCCCAGGGUCGGUCAAUUACUGCCUCGGGAAGUUUUUUUUCAGGAUGGUCUCCAGGGAAAAUUGCUCCCUGACCUGCUGAAUAAAUUCCCAUUAAUAGGGCUCCUGGGGACCCUUUCUGCAGGGCAGUUCCUUCCACCUGGCAUCUUCCCUUUUGCUCUGGGCUUCCCUGGGUCUGAAACCCCUGAAGAGCCAUAUCUGGACCAGAACCAUCUGGUGAAGGAAGAGCCUGAAGGUCAGGUGGUGGCAGUUCCUCCCAAAGGAGAUGGGGCACUUCCUCCCAAAGGAGAUGGGGGCCUGCCCUGGAGAACCUGGCAGGAGGGAAAUGGAUGCAUAAACCCAGUUAAGGGGAAAACAACUUUAAAGAACUUGAGAGGGACUAGAAAGGCUUGUGAUAACCUUACAAAAACCUUAACCAAAGUUAACCCAAUUAUAGGGAGUCUUUUUAUGGGGCUUUAAAACCGUUUCAGGAGUCACCUGGCUCUGGAGCACUAGAGCUUAGAGAAGGUUUGACUGAAAAUGAAUUUGACAGACUGGCUAAUACAGUCAUUCUGACCCACGCCAGGGUCACUUGGGCUUUGGCAAUCUUUAGACAACUAAGGACUCUUGGCUCUGGCCAAAUGCGUACAGGCACAAAAUUCUGCAACAAUUCUAAGAGCUGUGACACUGAAACUGGUUCCUGAGGCCAGAUUGAGGUUGGGGAAGAGAGAUUGGCCAGGGCUCCCGAGGCCCAGCCCAGCCCACCACUUCUCCUCAGUCAGUGCCCAAGAUUCCCUCCUGGCUCCUAUCCCAGGAAGCACUGGAGAGGAGGCAUAGAAACCAGAAAAGCCUCCCCGGGCUUGAUUCUCCACACCUUCCAGAACUAAUACCUACCAGGUCCUAACAAUGCCAAUUCUAUGAUCACCUCAUACAGCAUUUCAGUUUGGUCUUCAGAAAGGUAGCCAAACCUCUGCAGCCUAUAAUAAAGGUAACCCAAGCUAAUCUCCAUGAACCUUGGUUGCAGAGAGGACUAGAUGGAAAUAAAUGUGAGAAAUAUGAGGGCCUGUGGCUGGCAUACAAAAUCACAGGCUGCUGAAAUGGGGGACCCUUCAGCCUUGGUCUGAGGGCUUGGUCUGAGGGAUUAGGAGACUAAUGUAGAGGCAGAGUAUCCCUCUACCACAUGUGGUGGUGGCCAGAUCUGAUGGCAGUAUGCAGAGCAGUCAAACGUACAAGCUCUGGAGUUCAAAUGCCUGGCUUUAAAUCCCAGCUCCACCUCUCACUAGCUGUAUGGCCUUGUGCAAAUAACCUAUUUGAGCCUAUUCCCUCAUCUGCAAAAUGGGUAUUAUGUCACCUAGCUCUACAAGUUUGAAUAAUAGAGUAUAACCAAAGUUAUUAUAACCAAUAACAUGCUAGCAUAAUGCUUGUACAAAAUGAGCGUCCAAAUGAUAGCUAUUUGUAGAACUGAGCUAUAGGCUUGAAGCAGCACUGCUGCUGGGAGAAGGAGACCCCACCAACAGGAUGUGCUCUCACUAGGGCCCACUGUCUUUUGUGACCACAAACAAAUGCAAAGACUGGUUCCUUCAUGGAAGAACAUGAGUAGAUGAACAUCAUCUACUCAUGACUGGCUUAGGAUUCACUUGUAGUUCCUGGGCCAGAAUCAGCUCAAACCAGAGUAAUCCAGGAGGCUUUUGGGAUCUCUCUGAUGUCUCUACAGGGUUGCAGUGGCCUCAGCCACCUAAGUCAAAUGCUUGGCCACUUCAAAUGAAUAGAUACUUUGGGAAUAAGUUUCUGGGUAAUUGAGCCUGCACAGACCUGGAAUCUAGAAAGCACACAGAGUCAGUAAGGGUACUAUCUGCCAGCAUUGUGAACCCAAGUAACAUGGUUCUCUUUUCUAGGAUAGUAUUGGACUGAGGGGUAAUGGGUUCUUUCUCAUGUUGAACCCAGCCCCAGAUUCUCUUCUGAGCAGCAGGGAUGUGUCUGAAUUCACAUCUGCCCUCUACAGAUAUUUAGAAUAAGUGGACUACAGUGUGGUGAUUGGAUAUUUAGAUGGUGUUAAAAUUGAACGCAUAUGUCUUCCCAAGAUUCCUACGUUGAAGCCCUAACCCCGAGAGUGGCUGUAUUUAGAGUAAGAAAGUGAAGUUAUAUGAAAUCAUAAGGGUGGAGCUCUGUUCUGAUAGGAUUAGUGUCCUUGCAGGACCACAGAGAGCUCUCAACUCUGGUCAGGCGCAGGCACUGAGAAAAGGCUAUAUGAGGACACACUGAGAAGAUGGUUAUCUGCAAACUAGGAAGAGGGCCCUCAAUAGAAACCGACUCAGCCGGAACUCUAAUCUUGGAGGACUUCUAGCUUACAGAACUGUGAGAAAAUAAAUUUCUGUUUAAGCUACCCAGUCUAUGGCAUUUUGUUGAAGCAGCCCAAGCUAAGAGAGAUGACUGUCUGGGAGUAGACCUCUGCACACACCCUCCUGCCCUUCGCUCUCCCACCAGUUCCAAGAUGUCUUGAAAUCACCUUUGGAGACAGGGCAUGGCAGGCUAAAAAUAGGAAUAGGGCCCAUGUCACAGGUGUUUGGCUUCCUCUGCUAUAACCAGCCACCAUGAGCAGCCAAGAGGGUAGAGGAAGACAUUUUUGUUGGUGGGGGUUGGGGGAGAGGCUGGAGAUCAUGGUGGGGAGGUAGUUGCCGAUGCUAGGAGCCAAGGAGAGGUAGCAUAGUGGUGACCAAGAGUCUGAGUCCUGGAGCCAAUUACCUGAGCUUGGUUGUCCACUCCAUGCCUUCAUCGUAUUUCUGAUAGCCCGUUUCAUCAUCUGUAGAAUAGAGAUGACAAUACCUGCUUCAAAGGAUUUUCAAUAUGGAGUGAAACAUGAUCAGUACAGUGUUCAGCUCAUGUUUGACAUGUAGUAAAUGCCCUGAAUGUGAGCUAUCAUUAUUAACCAGGAUGACCAUUUCAGAAGUGCGUGCAGCAGUACAAACAACUGCUUCCUGUCAGUGACCUGUCCUUUUAUCAGCCAUGUGCUAUCAGGAAACAGUAAAGAGGUCUGUACUUCCCAACAGGUAUGCCCAGAAUUGGAGGACAGCUAUUCUGGGUCUUUUCUCACUUUGCACUUUCCCCCUAAACUAUCUCAUUUGCUCUCAUGGCUUCAGUUGCUUUUCAGAUGACUCUCCCCACACUAUCCCUGAGCCCACUCAACACCUCCAUUUGGGUAUCUCAUGGGAAACUUCAAACUCAACAAGCCUAAAACUCAUCAUCUGUCUAAAUUAGAUCCUCCUUCAGUCUUCAUCUGAAUAGAUUGCACCAGCGUAUGGUUGCCCAAAGUAAAAAAGGCAUGGUGGUCAUUAUUGACCCUAAACUCUUCCUCAUCCUCCAAUAUGUAACUCAUCACUCCCUAGGCACCACUCUACUCCUGUCCAUGUCCACCAUCACAACUCUAACUCAAAGUUCUACUUCCAUUUUUGUCUCUCCUCACUCAAUAUAACACAUCUGCCUCCAGCCCCAGCAUAUAUACCAAUGGCUUCUCUUUGCUCUCAGGAUUAAACACAAAAGCCUAAUAAGGACCAGAAUCAUCUGGUCCCACCAGCCUCAUCUUCUCUCACUCCUCUUACACUCCAGUGGCCUUUCAAUCCCUAAGGCUCCUCUGCCUAAGCUAUUUGUCUCUCCUCCUUCCUCUGGCUUGAUGCCUUCUCAUCCUUCAUGUCUCCAGUUAAAUGUUUCUUCCUCAGAAAGGGCUUGCCUAAAUCCGGAGGUAAGAUUAUAUCCGCUUAAAACCCCAUAUUGCCUCCCCAAUCACAGCUACUAAAUAACUGCAUAAUUAGUAGCCCAAUGCUUCUUCCCACUAGUAACUGUAAGUUGUAUGAACAGAGAACAGGGAUAUCAUCUGUCCUGUUCACUGUUUUCUCAAUGCCUAGCAUAGUUUUAAACAGAAAAUAGGCAAUAAAUAUUUAUUGAAUGAAAUAUAGUGGGAAAACAGAGCUAGAGGUUAAAGUAAAUUUGAAAGGUGUAUUUACAUCUAAGCAUGUAUCCUUUGAUUUUCCACCUUAAACUAACCUCGUAUCAGGUGAAAUACUGAGUUGAACAUUCCUUUAUUGAUUGGUCUUCCAAGUGGCUAGUUUCCUAGGGGUGGUAAUUCAAAGUUGUUAGCAACUAACGUUUCCUGUCUCCACCUAGGUAACACUUCAGUUAUUACUGUAUCUCCUGCAGAGACUAAAGAACAAACAUUUAAAAGUUUGUACCUUUAGCUAUUUCUGCUUGAAUUACUCCUUUUCCUGCAGAAAAGCACAGAUCAUUGCAGUAACAUUCACAUGCCUUCUGAAUUGCCUUGAAUAAGAACUGGUUAAAUCACUGUUUCACAUAACAACUUCCUCAUCUUCUUGGACUUUGAUCCCUUCCCUGGCUACUAUAUCUAAAAUUAUAAUUCCACCUUGUUCCCCAACCCUGGUAUCUUCCUUUCCUGCUUUUUUUUUUUUUUUCUCUUUGGAACUUACUGGUAAACACAUACAUAUAUUUUAUUUACCUUGUUUGGUGUCUUCAUUAACCAGAAUGAAGAUCCUCAAGAGAAAGAAUUUUUGUUUUAACCACUCUUAUUCCUCAGCCUGACAUCUAACAAGCCCUCAAAUAUUAGUCAAAUGAACGAACAAGCUCAUACGGCUCAGGGCCAGAAAAAAUAAAAGUAUUCAGAAACACAGGAGUAGAGUCUAUAGUUUAAAAUCUCCCUCAUUUGUGGGUCCUGCUUCUCCACCCUCCAAAACUGAUUAACCUAAUGAACUUGGAACUACUCAGUUAUAGCUUCACUUUCCAUGAGGACAAGAACUAUGAUUCCAGCUCUACUGCCUAGCAUAAAGCUUGACCUGUAGUAAUCACUGAAUUGGCAAGUUAGUAUUAAUUGGGUUACAGUCCAAGCUGCUAUAACAAAGCCAUCCGCCACUCAAGUUUCUUUCUCACAGCACUGUUUCAGGGGUAGCACAACUGUUAUCCUCAUCCCUCAGCUUCCAUGUCCACUUCAAGGUGCAUACUCUAGAUCCUGCCUUCAUAUCUGCAUUCCAGCCAGAGGAGAAAAGAGCAAGGGGUGCAUUCCUCUUCCAGAUAUAAUGCAGAAGUGGUGCCUAUCACUUCUGCUAAUAUUCUACUGGCCAAGCUUAGUCACAUGACCAUACCUAGCUGAAAAGAAAGCUAGGAAAUGUGGUAUCCAGCUGGACACAGGUGUUCUGCAAUGAAAGGGCAAACGGGCACUGGUAAGCUUACAGCAGUUUAUUAAA